GAUGAACGCUGGCGGCGUGCCUAAUACAUGCCAGUCGAGCGAACAGACGAGGAGCUUGCUCCUCUGACGUUAGCGGCGGACGGGUGAGUAACACGUGGAUAACCUACCUAUAAGACUGGGAUAACUUCGGGAAACCGGAGCUAAUACCGGAUAAUAUAUUGAACCGCAUGGUUCAAUGGUGAAAGACGGUUUUGCUGUCACUUAUAGAUGGAUCCGCGCCGCAUUAGCUAGUUGGUAAGGUAACGGCUUACCAAGGCGACGAUGCGUAGCCGACCUGAGAGGGUGAUCGGCCACACUGGAACUGAGACACGGUCCAGACUCCUACGGGAGGCAGCAGUAGGGAAUCUUCCGCAAUGGGCGAAAGCCUGACGGAGCAACGCCGCGUGAGUGAUGAAGGUCUUCGGAUCGUAAAACUCUGUUAUUAGGGAAGAACAAAUGUGUAAGUAACUAUGCACGUCUUGACGGUACCUAAUCAGAAAGCCACGGCUAACUACGUG
rnacentral:rRNA from 1 species